GACGAACGCUGGCGGCGUGCCUAACACAUGCAAGUCGAACGAGGGUUUGGAAAGCUUGCUUUCCGAAACCUAGUGGCGGACGGGUGAGUAACGCGUGAGUAACCUGCCUUUCAGAGGGGAAUAACGUUCUGAAAAGAACGCUAAUACCGCAUAACGUACAGUUACCGCAUGGUAGCAGUACCAAAGGAGCAAUCCGCUGAAAGAUGGACUCGCGUCCGAUUAGCUAGUUGGUGGGGUAAAGGCCUACCAAGGCGACGAUCGGUAGCCGGACUGAGAGGUUGAACGGCCACAUUGGGACUGAGACACGGCCCAGACUCCUACGGGAGGCAGCAGUGGGGGAUAUUGCACAAUGGGGGAAACCCUGAUGCAGCAACGCCGCGUGUGGGAAGAAGGUUUUCGGAUUGUAAACCACUGUUCUUGGUGAAGAUAAUGACGGUAACCAAGGAGAAAG
rnacentral:rRNA from 1 species